AAACGGCGUCGUUCAAGUGCCUCCCCUUUAAUCAAACCUAAUCUAGUAAUCUGAAUGGAAACCCCCCCAACCCCAGCCUCAUCUCUCUUCUCUCUCGACACUCCAGAGGGCCUCACCUUCGUCGCGUCACUCUCUCGUCUCUCCCCUCACCUCGUCAGUUGUCACUCUCAGUCUCUCACAGCGUCACCUCGUCACUCUCUCGGUCUCGCACUCAUAAGCUCGUCGUCGCGGUCUCGUGCCCCGCGUUCGCUUCGUCGGCGGCAGAAGCAAACGGAACCAGUCAAGCAGCAUCUUCUCCAUCGGUGGGUGGUGGUGGUCGUUGUCUUCUUGUUUCAUCGCAGUCUCGGAACCAGUCAACUGGUUUCCACACACCCCCUCUUCGCAGCCAACCACCAUUCCACCAACCCUAUCAGUGCCUCACAGGAGAUUCACUCCCCCUCUCCUCUCACCGGCGCUCUCCCUCUUCUCACUGCUUCCCCUUCUCACUCUCAAAGUCACCGGCGCUGCAGCAGUCGUCGCGGCGCCUGAGAAACCUCGGAGAACGUCGUCGUCGUGCGAAAGGCAGCGCCGUCGCCGUCGCGUGAGAGGCAGAACCGUCGCUGUCUUCGUCGCGGGAGAAGAAGAACCGUCGCCGUAUUCGUCGCGUCAGAGGAGUAUCAUCUUCGUCGCCAUCCAGAGGAGAGUCAUCUCCGGAGGAGAGUCGUUCUUCUGAUUUUUUCUAAAAAAUUCGCGGAUAUCCGUGAGACCCCAAUCCUCAGCGGAUACGGGGUCCUCGUUACUAGUCGUGGGGUCAGGGACGGUAGGACGGAUAUGGGGACCCGUUGCCACCCCUACUUAUCACCAAGG